rnacentral:rRNA from 1 species
UACGGAGGAUGCGAGCGUUAUCCGGAUUUAUUGGGUUUAAAGGGUGCGUAGGCGGACGCUUAAGUCAGCGGUAAAAUUGCGGGGCUCAACCUCGUCGAGCCGUUGGAACUGGGUGCCUUGAGUGGGCGAGAAGUACGCGGAAUGCGUGGUGUAGCGGUGAAAUGCAUAGAUAUCACGCAGAACUCCGAUUGCGAAGGCAGCGUACCGGCGCCCUACUGACGCUGAAGCACGAAGGCGUGGGUAUCGAACAGG